rnacentral:rRNA from 1 species
AUUGAACGCUGGCGGCAGGCUUAACACAUGCAAGUCGAGCGGGGGAGGUUACUUCGGUAACUGACCUAGCGGCGGACGGGUGAGUAAUGCUUAGGAAUCUGCCUAUUAGUGGGGGACAACAUUCCGAAAGGAAUGCUAAUACCGCAUACGCCCUACGGGGGAAAGCAGGGGAUAUUCGGACCUUGCGCUAAUAGAUGAGCCUAAGACGGAUUAGCUAGUUGGUGGGGUAAAGGCCUACCAAGGCGACGAUCUGUAGCGGGUCUGAGAGGAUGAUCCGCCACACUGGGACUGAGACACGGCCCAGACUCCUACGGGAGGCAGCAGUGGGGAAUAUUGGACAAUGGGCGGAAGCCUGAUCCAGCCAUGCCGCGUGUGUGAAGUAGGCCUUUUGGUUGUAAAGCACUUUAAGCGAGGAGGAGGCUCCUUUAGUUAAUACCUAAAGUGAGUGGACGUUACUCGCAGAAUAAGCACCGGCUAACUCUGUGCCAGCAGCCGCCGUAAGAC